rnacentral:rRNA from 1 species
ACAGAGGGUGCGAGCGUUGUCCGGAAUCACUGGGCGUAAAGGGCGCGUAGGUGGUGGCUUAAGCGUGCGGUGAAAGCUCGGAGCUCAACUCCGAGUCGGCCGUGCGAACUGGGCUCACUGGAGCAUAGUAGAGGCAACUGGAAUUCCCAGUGUAGCGGUGAAAUGCGUAGAUAUUGGGAAGAACACCUGAGGCGAAGGCGGGUUGCUGGGCCGACACUGACGCUGAGGCGCGAAAGCCAGGGGAGCGAACGGGA